UUUUUAAUCCAGUUAUUUAAUGUUUGAUCCUUCAAGGGAAGCUCACAUGCUAACCAACACCAACAUUCUUUCCCAAGCUUCAAGGUUGCCAGGGAAUGACCAGGGAAAGCAGCCACUCCCCAGACAUCCUACCAGAUCGUCUUUAUCCCAGAGAAGCAGAUCUUAAGGAGCAGAGUAAUGAGGAUACAGCUUUGCUGAGACUGUAACCGUACUGCAUCGGAAAGUGUGUCUCUUCCCAGAACUGCUGCAUAUUCUACAAAACACAUAAUGCUAUUGUAACGUUCUCUUUCAAUUAUCCUACUUAUACGCAUUUAACCGCAAAGAUUAUAAUUAGUGACUGGUAUAUAUUUACAUAUCAGGGUCUAUAGGAUAGGUAGCAUCUUUAAUUUAGCUAAAGAAGAAGAAAUUGACAAAGUAACAAAAUAUGCCUGUUAAUUCAGUAAUUUACAGAGAAAGUAAAUGACCAGCUGCUGUGGUUAGCUUAGAGGUUUAGUGUCAGUGUCUGGCCACUAUAUCAGGGUCUAUAGGACAGGUAGCAGUGUGCAGAUAAAAUGGUUUACCCAUUUGUAAAUGCACAGUGCACAUUAUGCACUAAUGCCCUCAUAAUGGGCGAAACAUGCUCCUGGUAUUAUUAAUCAGUGGCUACUGCUCUAAGACUACAAGCGAAGCCCCACCUCCUCUGAAACAAUACAAAAAAUUUCAUCAAAUACCUACUGCUGUAUUUACUUUGCUAUUACAAAGAGUGCGCUAGAACGUGUUCACAAUUUCUUGCAGGCCAUCUAACGUGACUGUUUUCCCUCAUUUAUUACAGUCCCGUGGCAGCACAAUACAAUAGAACCCAAUGAAGUGCAGCUUCACUGGACUUCAACUGCACUUCUGUUUUCAGUGCAGCAAAGCUAGACAUCUACUGGACAAAUAUUUCAACUAGAACAGAGAUUGCGAGCCAGGCCUUCAUAUCCAACAUCAGUGCCUGACCUCACAAAUGCUCUCGUGG